rnacentral:rRNA from 1 species
UACGUAGGGAGCGAGCGUUGUCCGGAUUCAUUGGGCGUAAAGAGCUCGUAGGCGGCUUGGCAAGUCGGGUGUGAAAACUCCAGCUCAACCUGGAGACGCCACCCGAUACCUGCCAUGGCUAGAGUCCGGUAGGGGACCACGGAAUUCCUGGUGUAGCGGUGAAAAUGCGCAGAUAUCAGGAGGAACACCGGUGGCGAAGGCGGUG